UACGGGGGGGGCAAGCGUUGUUCGGAAUUACUGGGCGUAAAGGGCUCGUAGGCGGCCAACUAAGUCAGACGUGAAAUCCCUCGGCUUAACCGGGGAACUGCGUCUGAUACUGGAUGGCUUGAGAUUGGGAGAGGGAUGCGGAAUUCCAGGUGUAGCGGUGAAAUGCGUAGAUAUCAGGAGGAACACCGGUGGCGAAGGCGGCUCUCUGGACGGUGACUGACGCUGAGACGCGAAAGCGUGGGGAGCAAACAGG
rnacentral:rRNA from 1 species